rnacentral:rRNA from 1 species
UAGGGAAUCUUCCGCAAUGGACGAAAGUCUGACGGAGCAACGCCGCGUGAGUGAAGAAGGAUUUCGGUUCGUAAAACUCUGUUGUUAGGGAAGAAAAAAUGUAUAGUAACUAUAUACAAAAGAGACGGUACCUAACCAGAAAGCCACGGCUAACUACGUGCCAGCAGCCGCGGUAAUACGUAGGUGGCAAGCGUUGUCCGGAAUUAUUGGGCGUAAAGCGCGCGCAGGUGGUUUAGAAAGUCUGAUGUGAAAGCCCACGGCUCAACCGUGGAGGGUCAUUGGAAACUAAUAAACUAGAGUGCAGGAGAGAAAAGUGGAAUUCCUAGUGUAGCGGUGAAAUGCGUAGAGAUUAGGAGGAACACCGGUGGCGAAAGCGGCUUUUUGGCCUGCAACUGACACUGAGGCGCGAAAGCGGGGGGAGCAAACAGG